CGCGAAUUCGCCCUUGGGGUGCAGCAGGCGCGAAAACUUUGCAAUGCGGGAAACCGUGACAAGGGAACUCUGAGUGCCCGUUAAAUCGGGCUGUCCAUCGGUUUAAAUAACCGGUGAAGAAAGGGCCGGGCAAGACCGGUGCCAGCCGCCGCGGUAAUACCGGCGGCUCGAGUGGUGGCCACUAUUACUGGGCUUAAAGCGUUCGUAGCUGGUUUGUUAAGUCUCUGGGGAAAUCUUCCGGCUUAACCGGAAGGCGUCUCAGGGAUACUGGCAGACUAGGGACCGGGAGAGGUGAGAGGUACUCCAGGGGUAGGAGUGAAAUCCUGUAAUCCUUGGGGGACCACCUGUGGCGAAGGCGUCUCACCAGAACAGCUCCGACAGUGAGGGACGAAAGCUGGGGGAGCAAACCGGAUUAGAUACCCGGGUAGUCCCAGCUGUAAACGAUGCGCGUUAGGUGUAUCGGUGACCACGAGUCACCGAGGUGCCGAAGAGAAAUCGUGAAACGUGCCGCCUGGGAAGUACGGUCGCAAGGCUGAAACUUAAAGGAAUUGGCGGGGGAGCAC
rnacentral:rRNA from 1 species